rnacentral:rRNA from 1 species
UACGUAGGGUGCGAGCGUUAAUCGGAAUUACUGGGCGUAAAGCGUGCGCAGGCGGCGCGUUAAGACAGGUGUGAAAGCCCCCGAGCUUAACUUGGGAAUUGCGCUUGUGACUGGCGUGCUGGAGUGUGGCAGAGGGAGGUGGAAUUCCACGUGUAGCAGUGAAAUGCGUAGAGAUGUGGAGGAACACCGAUGGCGAAGGCAGCCCCCCUGGGUCAAGAUUGACGCUCAUGCACGAAAGCGUGGGAGCAAACAGG